ACAAUGAGACAGCUGGGGCGGGGUG
rnacentral:piRNA from 1 species